CAACACUCCUCACCAGGGACAUGAAGACAAAAAGGCAAGCCAUGAACUGAGAGAAAAUAUUUGCAAAAUUAAACAAAGAACCUUCUACCCAGAAUAUUAAAAAAGACUUACAAUUCAAUAAAUGAGAUACAUUAGUUC